UACAGAGGGGGCAAGCGUUAUUCGGAAUUAUUGGGCGUAAAGGGCGCGUAGGCGGCCUUUCAAGUGACGGGUGAAAGCCCUCGGCUUAACCGAGGAACUGCCUGUCAGACUGGAAGGCUUGAGACCGGGAGAGGUGAGUGGAAUUCCCAGUGUAGCGGUGAAAUGCGUAGAUAUUGGGAGGAACACCAGUGGCGAAGGCGGCUCACUGGACCGGUACUGACGCUGAGGCGCGAAAGCGUGGGGAGCAAACAGG
rnacentral:rRNA from 1 species